rnacentral:rRNA from 1 species
UACAGAGGGGGCAAGCGUUGUUCGGAAUUACUGGGCGUAAAGGGCGCGUAGGCGGCCUGUUAAGUCGAACGUGAAAUCCCCGGGCUCAACCCGGGAACUGCGUCCGAUACUGGCAGGCUUGAAUCCGGGAGAGGGAUGCGGAAUUCCAGGUGUAGCGGUGAAAUGCGUAGAUAUCUGGAGGAACACCGGUGGCGAAGGCGGCAUCCUGGACCAAUUCUGACACUGAGGAGCGAAAGCCAGGGGAGCAAACGGG